UACAGAGGGGCAAGCGUUGUUCGGAAUUACUGGGCGUAAAGGGCGCGUAGGCGGCCCGCUAAGUCGAACGUGAAAUCCCCGAGCUCAACUCGGGAACUGCGUCCGAUACUGGCGGGCUUGAAUCCGGGAGAGGGAUGCGGAAUUCCAGGUGUAGCGGUGAAAUGCGUAGAUAUCUGGAGGAACACCGGUGGCGAAGGCGGCAUCCUGGACCGGCAUUGACUGCUGAGGCGCGAA
rnacentral:rRNA from 1 species